UACGUAGGGUGCAAGCGUUAAUCGGAAUUACUGGGCGUAAAGCGUGCGCAGGCGGUUAUGUAAGACAGUUGUGAAAUCCCCGGGCUCAACCUGGGGAAUUGCUCUGUGACUGCAUAGCUAGAGUACGGUAGAGGGGGAUGGAAUUCCGCGUGUAGCAGUGAAAUGCGUAGAUAUGCGGAGGAACACCGAUGGCGGAAGGCAAUCCC
rnacentral:rRNA from 1 species